ensembl:lncRNA
CAUCACCCUUGAAGCAGUCUGUCUAUACAGUCAUUAUAGAAAACCAGACCUUUUCAAGAGGCGCAGCAGAUGUAUCCCUACCUUUCCUGCACAAGCGAAUUGACAGACAGCAUCAGGUGCUCAAGGAACAAGAGUGCCUCCUUACCUGCUUAAGCUCUACUAAAGUAGGGGAACGUCUGCACCACCUGCUGUCAGGCUUGUCUUGGCCAGAGUCCAAGCGGUUGAUGGAAGGCCAGUGGGAGACGGACCUCUCACACCUGUCACCAUUGCGAUCCAAAUUGACCAGACAUGGUCAACUCAUGACAGGAACCCCCCUUUAGGAACGUCUCCUGAUGUUCCCUGGACAAAAGGCCUUUAUCCGGGAUGUCACGGGCUGGGACCCAUGAACGGUCCUCAGGGCCAUACCCCUCCCAGUCCACCAGAUACUGCACUCCACGCAGCACCGGGCGAGAGUCCAGCAGCCGGUGAACAGUGAAGGCUGGCUGGCCUCCGAUGUUUCGGGGGGUGGGGGGGACUUUGGGGGCAGGGACAAGGGGCUUGAAAGGGCCAACGUACUGGGAGGCAAGCCCCGGGGACUCCACCCGCAGUGGGACAACAAAACCCUCUGACCAGGGCUGAAGGGCGGAACUGGCCUCUGACGCCAGUUGGCCUGGGACCGAUGAGGUGGUAGAGUUGCGACUCAGCUGUUGCUACCCACCUCUUUUCGAUCCAAAUACUCAGCAGGAACUUGGAACAGCUCGGUGGGACCAGGAGACUCAGGACACAAAGAUGAGGGACUUGAGGAGAGGCCGGUGGCGUGGCAGGUAGGACCCCACUCGAGAAUGCAACCAGUUACCCAGUCGAUGCAGGGGUUGUGGCGGUUGAGCCAGGGGAAUCCCAGAACCACUGGGAACUCUGGAGAAUGGAACAGGUUCAGGGAACUCUCCUCGUGGUGUCCCCCCCCCCCCCCCCCCCCCGGGUUUAUUAUAAACCAUAAAAAAACGAUAAACACAAGGACUGGAGAACAUGAAACCAGAACUCAAUACCAGAAAACUCAAAUCCAAAGAGGCAGCAAAGAGCAUGAAAACAAAGGCAGGAAGUAAACAUAGAGCACAUGCAGACACCAGGCAAAGAGUCUUUUUGGCGGCCUCUACAGACCAAAAUGUCCCAACUCAUGGCACCCUGGUCUUGGAAACCCCUCACUGGACUGGGAACAGAACACAAUUGAAGCAUGGUCACCCUGUUGCCAUGGUGUCUGCAUCCACACCAGUGUUCCACUAAUGUCUACUUUGAUUGAAAGCCCACUGAAAGCAAUGUUCCCAUCGAAAUCCCCACAGAAUACCAAGACCUGGAAAAGGGUCCUUGGGACUGUGCGACAGAUCUUUUGCCUGGCGCCUCCCAAUCCAGUGAAGCAAAUCAUCAUCGGGGUAGAUGCGCCGGAAGUGGGCAUCGGAGCGGUCGUAUCUCAAAUAUGGUUCCCGGGCCCCUGGUGGACACAAUGCCUCCUGAAAUCCCUCCUCCAGCUAUUGAUGUCGGGGGCACACCAACCCGUCAGGUGUCUGCGCUCCUCGAUUCCAGGUGUUACAGGGGGCAGUUACAGUAUAUGGUAGACUGGAAGGGGUAUGGCCCCCAGGAUAGCAGCUGGAUCCCGGUGGGAGAUAUCCUCAGGAACUGAAAGACAAUUUUUCAUCGUACCCGACUGGUUUGCCAACUUUGAGGCCUCGGGCCCUUCUGGUCGCCGUUGCUCUGCUGCCUAUAGAGGGGUGU